CUAAGAAUAUUCCGCAAUGGACGAAAGUCUGACGGAGCGACGCCGCGUGGAUGAUGAAGGCCGAAAGGUUGUAAAGUCCUUUUGUCGAUGAAGAAUAAGUGUGGGAGGGAAUGCCCGCAUGAUGACGUUAGUCGGCGAAUAAGCCCCGGCUAAUUACGUGCCAGCAGCCGCGGUAACACGUAAGGGGCAAGCGUUGUUCGGAAUUAUUGGGCGUAAAGGGUACGUAGGCGGUCCGGUAAGCCCGGCGUGAAAUCCCACAGCUUAACUGUGGGGCUGCGCUGGGAACUGCCAGACUUGAGUCAUGGAAGGGGAGUUGGAAUUCCAGGUGUAGGGGUGAAAUCUGUAGAUAUCUGGAAGAACACCGGUGGCGAAGGCGAACUCCUGG
rnacentral:rRNA from 1 species